GCCACUUACCACUGGUGGGCAGAACAGGCAAAACUUCAAGGACACCCCACCUCAUACUUCAGGAGCAACUGGAAUAACAUAUGCUUCUCCAAUUACCACUGGUAGUGGGCAGUUCAGGUCGCAAGGCAAACUGGAGACUUCAAAAUCAUACUUUCCAUACACUUCAGGAGCAGCUGCUGUUGAGCCAUCUGCAACAUCCUACAAAGAUAGGUCCUCAUCAGUACCUGGUAACAUCCAGGACCCAAAAGAAAAGGAAGGAAAAGAACUUGGAAGUCUGUGGAAUUUUUUCAGUGGAUUCUGAGGAAAUGAAACAAAAAAUUUGCCGGGUGAGAUUCUUGAGAUAUGCUUUGUACUAAUCGAAAAUAAUUUGUUCAUGCAUUUCCUGUCAGUCAAUCUAAUUGGCAUAAAUCACUCCUUACCUCUCCSCUCUGAUAGCUGAUGUGUGAUGAGCUUUCUAGAGUGAAAUGUCUGCAAUGGAAAUCCACCACUUUGCUUUUGUAUGCAACAYCUUGGGGAUAUACUGUAUGUAGUGUUGUAAUUUAGUUAUGUUUUGUUUCAWGAAGUUCAAGUCUAUUCACAAGUGUGUGGAAAAACCCUGAACRCUCACCUUGCACUCAUGAAACAAGUGGAGGAUCUGGGACUUAAACGAAAGGAGACCAGUGUAGAUGACUGCCAAGUCAUAAUGGUCUUCUGUCCUGUUACAUCUCGUGUGGGAACUGACAUUGAAGCUGCCAUGAGCCAAGUUCCAGGUAACAGAGAUGCCAUUCUAGUGGUGAUGCACCAUACUUUUGAUAAAUGCUUUGUCACAAGCCAGAGAUCUGCAUCUCACUACAAAAACGUAGUGGAGAAAGUGAAUGUUCUCUUCCAUGACUCUGUGGGACUUCUGCAGUGUAAAACAAAUGAUAAUGCAGUGACUCUCAUACAUAAGGCCUUACAGAAAUACAACAGCAGUACUUAGACAUUAUUAAGUGCCCCAUUUUGGCAACACAAAGAAAGUGUCUGAAGUCUGUAACAAGAUUACAAUGCCACCAACAUGAUUUAAAAACCUACAACUUCCACCCAGGGCGUUGGUGACUCAUUSUAGUUUAGAAUAAAGCAUAUCACAAUCUGUGUAGUGAGCCAAAUGAAAGAUUAUCUUGAUUCUCAAUAACUACAAAAUUAGACUUCUCCCUUUAGAACCUCUGGUGUGAGUGAAUCUUUGAAGAUUAGAUACCUCAUACGUAUUUGUUUCAGCUUGUUCUACUUUUAGUAUUAGAAGCACUUAUUGUUUGAGGCAGUUUGUUUUGUUACAUUAUGCCUCAAUCAGAGAUUGAACAGUUGUACCUACAGUAUCAUGAGUGUGUUGUUUAUGAAUCAAGUACAAGUGUUGCAUAAAAUAUUGAAUAACUUAGUAAUAAUGACAUUGACAACAUUUUUCCUCCAAACUCUUCUGAUAUCAAUAGACUUAUUCAUUUGUGUUGAGGAAUUUCUGUCUCUGCAGAUGGACUAAUAAAAUCUAUUCCAAAGCUAAAUAAAAUAAAGUUGUUCUUAUUUUCAUAAAAAGAGUACACAUGCAACAUUGAUUAGAACAAGUGUUGAGUCAGAUAUUUAAUAUUUAUCAUAACACUAAUAACGUAAUUGAUGAUAAAAAUUCUGCUGAUAUCAAUAUAAAAGCUGUGUAGCAGCAUUCAUUUCUAAACAUCCUUCUAGAAAUACUUUAGGCACAUUUGCAUUUAUAUUCACAC